ACGUAGGUGGCGAGCGUUGUCCGGAAUCAUUGGGCGUAAAGGGAGCGCAGGCGGGCAUGUAAGUCUUUCUUAAAAGUGCGGGGCUCAACCCCGUGAUGGGAAAGAAACUAUGUGUCUUGAGUACAGGAGAGGAAAGCGGAAUUCCCAGUGUAGCGGUGAAAUGCGUAGAUAUUGGGAGGAACACCAGUGGCGAAGGCGGCUUUCUGGACUGCAACUGACGCUGAGGCUCGAAAGCCAGGGGAGCGAACGG
rnacentral:rRNA from 1 species